AUAAUGCUCGAAGAGGCAAAUGGAGUUUCUUGGCAGUGAUUAAAAGAUAAACUAUAGAAAUGAAGGACAGCUCAGUUUUUUUCAGGGGCUAGAAAAAAGUGACUAUAAAAGAAAUCAAAGGAGCAUUUACUGAUGGGAUGGGAUUGUUCUAUAUCGUGAUGGUGGCAGUCGUAAUAAUCUAUACGUGUAAAAUUUAUAGAACUGAACAUUAAAAAACCACAUUUGAAUGUAUAAUUUUAAAUAUGAAAUAAAAUUCCUAUUCAGCCAUCUUGCCCUGGAUCCCAGUAUUCUCUUCUUAAGUUCGUUAUAGCCGUACUCUAAUUUUCCUGAGGCUAUUUGGAAAAUAAACUACAGCUCUUGAGGAUGAAAGCUCUCCACAAAGGCCUGACCCUUAGCACUGAGUCACCUUGCACCCUUGUGACGUCUAGCUGGGCUCAGGCCAUGGAAAGCACCAGCAAGAUAUCAAGGAGCAGGAAGAGCCACAGACAUGGAUUUCUUCUCCAAUCCAUCUCUGCUUUCAGGUUUCUUUGUUUUGGCAGUGGCUAUCUCCCUCUAUGACAGUUCUACAGGGUAACACCUCUUCAUUUUUAAGGAAACAUAAUGCUAAUGGCAAUGCAGGGAAUUUGACAUUUUAAAGGUAAUUUUAAAUGUAUGAUUCUAAGACUUUUAGAUAAGUUCGUCGCCAUGGUAGGAUUCUGGCAAGAAGUACUGAAGAGGUAUCAAGGUGUGAAGAGAAGCCACAGUGGGAGGGAGCAGAAUGGAAAGGAGCGUGAGGAGCAAUGCGUUAUCUUCCCAUCAGGAUUCAUGACUGCCCCCUUUUCCUUCUGUGUCGUCCCCUUCAGUACUCCAUGAUAAUGGGUACUAAUUUCUGAAAGUAAAUAUACAAGUAGAAAUACUGACAAGGCCAAAAAUGAAGAGAUGAACACGCUGCCCUGUAGGUACUGUCACCAUCCGGAGAAAGAGCAAGUGGCACAACAGCAUACGUCACGCUCUCGGGAAUGUCACUUUAAAAAGCGAGUGAGAAAUAAAAUGCAACCAAGGUGCUAAAUACUGCUGCAUUAUCUUGAAUGAAAGAGGAUCAUCUACACGUCAUUUUCUGCAGCCCUUUCAGAAUUCAAUUGCCAUUGUUGGGGAAACUUCUAUUUCAAUCAACACCUUAUUUAUU
rnacentral:lncRNA from 10 species